rnacentral:rRNA from 1 species
AGGACGCUUCCUUCGGGAAGCGAGCGUACACAGGUGCUGCAUGGGCUGUCGUCAGCUCGUGUCGUGAGAUGUUGGGUUAAGUCCCGCAACGAGCGCAACCCUUGCCUUUAGUUGCCAGCAGUUCGGCUGGGCACUCUAAAGGGACUGCCGGUGUUAAACCGGAGGAAGGUGGGGAUGACGUCAAGUCCUCAUGGCCUUUAUGACCAGGGCUACACACGUACUACAAUGGCCGAUACAAAGGGCAGCGACACUGCGAGGUGAAGCCAAUCCCGUAAAAUCGGUCUCAGUCCGGAUUGGAGUCUGCAACUCGACUCCAUGAAGUUGGAAUCGCUAGUAAUCGUGGAUCAGCAUGCCACGGUGAAUACGUUCCCGGGCCUU